rnacentral:rRNA from 1 species
UACGUAGGCAGCAAGCGUUGUUCGGAAUUACUGGGCGUAAAGAGUGUGUAGGCGGUGCUCUAAGUUCGGUGUGAAAUCCCGUGGCUCAACUGCGGGUCUGCAGCCGAUACGGGCAGGCUAGAGUUCGGUAGGGGAGACUGGAAUUCCUGGUGUAGCGGUGAAAUGCGCAGAUAUCAGGAGGAACACCGGUGGCGAAGGCAGCUCGCUGGAACGGUACUGACGCUGAGGCGCGAAAGCGUGGGGAGCGAACAGG